GUUUUUGCAAAAGAACCUAAAUUUUACCAAAAACAUUAACAAUGCCACAGAUUAAAACGAAGAAAAAAAUAUACUAUUUUGGGCUCAGAGUGACCGUUACAGACAACCUAAACAAAAGAUGGCCCUAUCCCUUGACUUUGGAUGAGAAUCCAAUGAGGCUGGACCAUUAUCUUCAAUUUCUUUCAAAAUUAAUUGCAUUUACUGGGAGGACUCCUAUAAUAUGCUGGAACAGUUGCAGGGAAGAACAUUUGCCUCGCUCCUUCUGCCUUAAUAAUGGGAAAAAUGAUUCCUGAUGCACCCGAAAUUAACCUAGCUCCAAUCCAGAAGCGAUGAGGUGAAGGAAAUGGCAGUAACAAACGCCCAACACCAUAAAUUGCUACAGCAAAGAAAUGGACAACCAAGCUCAACGGUCGAGGAUUUAAACCUGAUAGCAAAGAGAUUGGUCCUGUUGAAAAUACACCUCCAAGACUUAAAUAAUCAAAGCAAGCCUGGCGCAUUUCCUUCCUUGCUUCAUCAGAAGAAGCGCAAAACA
rnacentral:misc_RNA from 1 species